rnacentral:rRNA from 1 species
GCUAAAUGCGGAAGAGAUAAGUGCUGAAAGCAUCUAAGCACGAAACUUGCCCCGAGAUGAGUUCUCCCUGAGACUUUAAGUCUCCUGAAGGAACGUUAAAGACGAUGACGUUGAUAGGCCGGGUGUGUAAGCGCAGCGAUGCGUUGAGCUAACCGGUACUAAUGAACCGUGAGGCUUAACCUUAC